rnacentral:rRNA from 1 species
GUCCACGCCCUAAACGAUGCGAACUGGACGUUGGGAGCAAUCAGGCUCUCAGUGUCGAAGCUAACGCGUUAAGUUCGCCGCCUGGGGAGUACGGUCGCAAUACUGAAACUCAAAGGAAUUGACGGGGGCCCGCACAAGCGGUGUAGUAUGUGGUUUAAUUCGAUGCAACGCGCAGAACCUUACCUGGCCUUGACAUCCACGGAAUCCUUUAGAGAUAGAGGAGUGCCUUCGGGAACCGUGAGACAGGUGCUGCAUGGCUGUCGU